CAGCAGCCGCGGGAAUACGGAGGAUCCAAGCGUUAUCCGGAAUCAUUGGGUUUAAAGGGUCCGUAGGCGGUCUUGUAAGUCAGUGGUGAAAGCCCAUCGAUCAACGGUGGAACGGCCAUUGAUACUGCAGGACUUGAAUUAUUGGGAAGUAACUAGAAUAUGUAGUGUAGCGGUGAAAUGCUUAGAGAUUACAUGGAAUACCAAUUGCGAAGGCAGGUUACUACCAAUUGAUUGACGCUGAUGGACGAAAGCGUGGGUAGCGAACAGGAUUAGAUACCCCUGUAGUCCCUGUCUCUUAUAU
rnacentral:rRNA from 1 species